UAGUUACUCCCUCCGUUCCGAAUUACUUGUCUCGAAAAUGGAUGUAUCUAGAACUAAAAUACAUCUAGAUACAUCCAUUUCCGAGACAAGUAAUUCCGAACGGAGGGAGUACCUG
rnacentral:pre_miRNA from 1 species